GGAAAAGAAAAAAGUAAUGAAGAGAAAAUAAUGGGUCUAAUUGAGGCCUUCAAAAUUGGACGCGUGUACAUACAUUAUACAUAUAUCACAUAUCCAAGAUUCAUCACAAUGGGCCACAUAAGAUAAGGACGACGAUAAAACUUAUCAAUAGUAAUAAUACUAGAUGAUCUAUGCUCGUACUGAGCACGAACAUGUUUACAUAUCAUUGUACAAAGUGGCCCCAUUUGGACGUGUACAGUAAGUUAAAAAGUGUAAGGUCAAAAUAUUUGAAAAAAAAACUACAAUUUAUUUUCUGCACUACAGUCUUCGCGUUCUUGAGUUUCAGCCUUUCGUGUGACAGCUUCCAAGUCCUCGAGACCUUUUAAAUUUACCAUAAAAUCACAGCAACAUCAAAGAAUUCAAUAUUGUUCACAAAAUAUUCCUUGAUAAAUCACCUGAAAGUUGAAAAUUUUCUCGGAUAAAUUAAAUCACCCAAAAAUAUAUACUUAUGCUAAAACGCUAUAAAUGUAUCUAAUUUUCUCUUCAACCUAAAGCUAGACAAACAAGAGUCAUGUUGCAAUGGAGAUACACAUGUAAGCAAAUGUAAUACCACUUUCAAAUAACAUCGAAAUAAGUCAAAUAAUUUGUGGGAAUUAUAUCUUGUGGAAGGGAAGAAAAGCAAGAUUGAAAAAUUAGAAACAAACAUAAUAGAUCAUCAAUUUGCUUUAUCGAAUAUCAGACUGCUCCUAAUGGUUUCUACCAUCACAAUUCAUAACUACAUAUGCAUGCUAUAUCUUGUACCAUUUAGUGAAAUACCCAUUGUUGGGUUACCCCUUUUGGUUGAGAAAAUAUGAUGAGGAGCGAGAUGUAGUAGCAAGGAUCUUGUUUCUUUUUUGUUCAACAUAGAAACAAGAAUGGAGAAGAUAUGUUUCUUGCUGCUUAUUAAAGUCCCUUUGCUCGUCCUUCGGAUAUUUCUUAAGCCAUUUCCCCUUUAUUUACGGAAAGAUCUAACUAAAGCCUUUGGUAAGCUGAAGCACAAAAGGAAAAAAAGAGUGACAUGACAAAUGAGAGCAUUGAUCUUCAUCUGCAAACUCUGAAAUUAUUAUAUUACUGUUAAUAUGCCUUCAAGUAUUAUGGUGAUUUGCUCUAAUCCGAAAUAAACUUUGUUUGCUCCAAAAUAUUUAGAUAUGAACAAAUUUAUGCCUCAAACAAGGAGCUAGCUAUCCUGAAUAAGAGAUCAAAUGAGGUAGAUAAGAGGAGUCAAAAUAAUAGUCUAGAUUUUGCUUUCCCAGCUAAAUUUAGUCAAAGGUAUAUAAUAAUCCAGUUCAACGGGGCAUUUCAAUUCAGUGCAAGUUGUUUCAAGAGUUGGCAAAACGUUGAGUUUUGAAUGAACAGUGAUUACAUGCUCACAUAUUUAUAACUAACAGACCUUAACGGACUUCAGAAUGCAACAACUACCAAAAGUAUUGCUGAAGCUAAACAGGCAGAUGGCAAUCAUCCUGUUCCAAACAUAGAGUUUUAAUAUAUGGUUAUUUAUAGAGCCAAGUUAGACCUAUAACGGAGACAUGAUACCAAUUCAUUCAGAAGAUGUCAAAUGUCUUGGAUACAAAUGAGGUUUAUGCAUAAUUCAUAGAUAUACUUGGAGACUGAAUACUUAUUUGAGACAGUCUGAAGUACUGCAGAUGAUACAAGCUCAGCAAGAGGUGGAAUGAAGCUGUUGUCACAAUCCAGAACAUGUGUAUUCUCAUAACAUCUCAAAGAGUUCACGGUUAAGUUUGCAACAAAGCAUCGUGAGGAGCCUGAAGAAAUAUUUGCUAAUUAACUGCAAUGCUUCCCGAAGAUGAUAAAUGACACACAGAGAGAAGAGAGGAGGGAGAAAGGAGAACCUUCAGCUUUAUUUCCAAGCAAUUCAAAUUAUGGAGAGCUUUUUUUAUCUCCAAAACUUUGGAACUUAGCUCUAUAUCACUGUGGGGAAUAUUGUCCAGCAAUGGUAUAACCGCACAUAUCAAGUACGGUUCUGCCUACAAAUUAUGUCAAAGUGAAGAUCUUCUUGGAUAUUCUGAUUGUGAGCAUAAGAGUGUCUAUAGUGCUUAAGCCAAUAUUCAUGGAAAAUGAUGCUACAAGAAACAUGAAGUAGAUUCUAUACUACUUAUAAUCCCCUAGGCCGUAUGCCAUUAAAUAACUUACUCGGUUGGUGUAACUACCUAUUAUUUAUUAAAGCGUAAAGUCGAAUACCC
rnacentral:lncRNA from 1 species